rnacentral:rRNA from 1 species
AACGAACGCUGGCGGCAUGCCUAACACAUGCAAGUCGAACGAGACCUUCGGGUCUAGUCGCGCACGUGUGUGUAACGCGUGGGAACCUGCCCUUAGGUUGGGAAUAACUGCCCGAAAGGGGUGCUAAUACCGGAUAAUGUCUUCGGACCAAAGAUUUAUCGCCUUUGGAUGGGCCCGCGUUGGAUUAGCUAGUUGGUAGGGUAAACGCCUACCAAGGCGACGAUCCAUAGCUGGUCUGAGAGGAUGAUCAGCCACACUGGGACUGAGACACGGCCCAGACUCCUACGGGAGGCAGCAGUGGGGAAUAUUGGACAAUGGGCGCAAGCCUGAUCCAGCCAUGCCGCGUGAGUGAUGAAGGCCUUAGGGUUGUAAAGCUCUUUUACCCGGGAUGAUAAUGACAGUACCGGGAGAAUAAGCCCCGGCUAACUCCGUG